AUUGAACGCUGGCGGCAGGCCUAACACAUGCAAGUCGAGCGAGUGGCGGACGGGUGAGUAAUGUAUGGGAAACUGCCCGAUAGAGGGGGAUAACUACUGGAAACGGUAGCUAAUACCGCAUACCAUCAGAUGUACCCAUAUGGGAUUAGCUAGUAGGGGGGGUAACGGCUCACCAAGGCGACGAUCCCUAGCUGGUCUGAGAGGAUGAUCAGACACACUGGAACUGAGACACGGUCCAGACUCCUACGGGAGGCAGCAGUGGGGAAUAUUGCACAAUGGGCGCAAGCCUGAUGCAGCCAUGCCGCGUGUAUGAAGAAGGCCUUAGGGUUGUAAAGUACUUUCAGCGGGGAGGCGUUACCCGCAGAAGAAGCACCGGCUAACUCCGUGCCAGCAGCCGCGGUAAUUC
rnacentral:rRNA from 1 species